AGUCCUUCGCCGUCCCUCGCCGUCCUUCGCCAUCGCACGCCACCGCACCCCAUCUCUCGAAAUCUGCAGACAUCUUGAUUUUUCCCACGCUGUCUGUCAGGUCUCCGCCGCCACUCGACGCCAGGGCGCCGGGUGAGUCCACAGCAGGGCGCAUGGUCGGCUCCACUCUCACCAUCGGGGGAAACUGAGGCCCCGGGGAAGGCGGCCAGAGAGGUCAGGCCCUGUCCUUGGUGCAGUGUCUCGUCCUCUUUGCCGGAGUGAGCCCCCCAGGAUUCGCGUGUCCUCGGGAAAGACACUGGCAGGAGUGUCACAUGACUGCCGCCCCAUGUGUGUGAGAGGCGUCCUCUGGGAGAGCAUGGAUCCUGAGGUCCCAGGAUUGUCAGCUGACCUCUGUCCUGUGUGCCCAGUGGCCCCAGGUGACGUGUCUUCAAGAAGAGGCUGAGCUGCGGUGCUUGUAAGUCAUGUGCUGUUCCUGGGGCUUGGAUGAUGUAGGGGAAGCAAGGUGAAAGUGGUAUCCCGUGGUUCCACGUUCUGUCCUGCUGUGGGGCUGUCCCUCACAUGCUUUCAGUGGCUGUUGCAGAGGAAGAGCCUCCGGAAAUCUGCGUGGGUCUCAGCCUUAGAUCCAAGGACAGUCCAAGGAAGUCCUAAGACCAUGGAGUUGGUGAUCUGGGAUCUGGGUUUGCUGAUAUUUCUCACCGUGAAUCUCUUGGUGGUGUUUGUGGGCACGAGAGGGGCAGAGAAUGGAGAGUGAGGCUACCACAUGAAGCGUCACCAGAGCUGCUCCCUGCUGCCUGCUCAGAGCACCCCGGAUCCACUGUUCAAUCUGCACAAGAUUCGGGGUCCAGACAUGGGAGACUUCAGCUGCCUCAGAGGACCGUGGACAGGGAAGGCCAGCCUCGCAUCCCUCUGUCCAUGCCUGGAAUGACUUUAAUAACCAAGAGUUUUAUUUUUGAAUUUGUAGCUGUCGUUCACUUUUUACCCACCCAUUCAAUAAACCUUACAGAAUUGCUCCA
rnacentral:lncRNA from 1 species